rnacentral:tRNA from 1 species
GGGGUAGAAGCUCAGUGGUUGAGCAAUCGAUUGCAGUUUGCUUUGGCAUUACCUAAUAUCGAUAGGUCAUGUGUUCGAUCCACAUUUGCCCCU